CCUACGGGUGGCUGCAGUGAGGAAUAUUGGUCAAUGGACGCAAGUCUGAACCAGCCAUGCCGCGUGCAGGAAGACGGCUCUAUGAGUUGUAAACUGCUUUUGUACGAGGGUAAACGCAGAUACGCGUAUCUGUCUGAAAGUAUCGUACGAAUAAGGAUCGGCUAACUCCGUGCCAGCAGCCGCGGUAAUACGGAGGAUUCAAGCGUUAUCCGGAUUUAUUGGGUUUAAAGGGUGCGUAGGCGGUCGGAUAAGUUAGAGGUGAAAUCCCGAGGCUCAACUUCGGAAUUGCCUCUGAUACUGUUCGGCGAGAGAGUAGUUGCGGUAGGCGGAAUGUAGGGUGUAGCGGUGAAAUGCUUAGAGAUCAGACAGAACACCGAUGGCGAAGGCAGAUUACCAGGCUACUUCUGACGUGGAGGCACGAAAGCGGGGGGAGCGAACAGGAUUAGAUACCCUAGUAGUC
rnacentral:rRNA from 1 species